CAGCCGCCGCGGUAAUACGUAGGGUGCGAGCGUUAAUCGGAAUUACUGGGCGUAAAGCGUGCGCAGGCGGUUAUAUAAGACAGAUGUGAAAUCCCCGGGCUCAACCUGGGACCUGCAUUUGUGACUGUAUAGCUAGAGUACGGUAGAGGGGGAUGGAAUUCCGCGUGUAGCAGUGAAAUGCGUAGAUAUGCGGAGGAACACCGAUGGCGAAGGCAAUCCCCUGGACCUGUACUGACGCUCAUGCACGAAAGCGUGGGGAGCAAACAGGAUUAGAUACCCCUGUAGUCCCUGUCUCUUAUAC
rnacentral:rRNA from 1 species